rnacentral:tRNA from 1 species
GGCGCCAUGGCUUAAUGGUAAAGCGCCUGUCUAGUAAACAGCGAGAUCCCUGGGUUCGAAUCCCCAGUGGUGCCU